GGGUUGUGAGGUUAAGCGACUAAGCGUACACGGUGGAUGCCCUGGCAGUCAGAGGCGAUGAAGGACGUGCUAAUCUGCGAUAAGCGUCGGUGAGGUGAUAUGAACCGUUAUAACCGGCGAUUUCCGAAUGGGGAAACCCAGUGUGUUUCGACACACUAUCAUUAACUGAAUCCAUAGGUUAAUGAGGCGAACCGGGGGAACUGAAACAUCUAAGUACCCCGAGGAAAAGAAAUCAACCGAGAUUCCCCCAGUAGCGGCGAGCGAACGGGGAGGAGCCCAGAGCCUGAAUCAGUGUGUGUGUUAGUGGAAGCGUCUGGAAAGGCGUGCGAUACAGGGUGACAGCCCCGUACACAAAAAUGCACAUAUUGUGAGCUCGAUGAGUAGGGCGGGACACGUGGUAUCCUGUCUGAAUAUGGGGGGACCAUCCUCCAAGGCUAAAUACUCCUGACUGACCGAUAGUGAACCAGUACCGUGAGGGAAAGGCGAAAAGAACCCCGGCGAGGGGAGUGAAAAAGAACCUGAAACCGUGUACGUACAAGCAGUGGGAGCCUCUUAAUGGGGUGACUGCGUACCUUUUGUAUAAUGGGUCAGCGACUUAUAUUCUGUAGCAAGGUUAACCGAAUAGGGGAGCCGAAGGGAAACCGAGUCUUAACUGGGCGUUAAGUUGCAGGGUAUAGACCCGAAACCCGGUGAUCUAGCCAUGGGCAGGUUGAAGGUUGGGUAACACUAACUGGAGGACCGAACCGACUAAUGUUGAAAAAUUAGCGGAUGACUUGUGGCUGGGGGUGAAAGGCCAAUCAAACCGGGAGAUAGCUGGUUCUCCCCGAAAGCUAUUUAGGUAGCGCCUCGUGAAUUCAUCUCCGGGGGUAGAGCACUGUUUCGGCAAGGGGGUCAUCCCGACUUACCAACCCGAUGCAAACUGCGAAUACCGGAGAAUGUUAUCACGGGAGACACACGGCGGGUGCUAACGUCCGUCGUGAAGAGGGAAACAACCCAGACCGCCAGCUAAGGUCCCAAAGUCAUGGUUAAGUGGGAAACGAUGUGGGAAGGCCCAGACAGCCAGGAUGUUGGCUUAGAAGCAGCCAUCAUUUAAAGAAAGCGUAAUAGCUCACUGGUCGAGUCGGCCUGCGCGGAAGAUGUAACGGGGCUAAACCAUGCACCGAAGCUGCGGCAGCGACACUAUGUGUUGUUGGGUAGGGGAGCGUUCUGUAAGCCUGUGAAGGUGGCCUGUGAGGGUUGCUGGAGGUAUCAGAAGUGCGAAUGCUGACAUAAGUAACGAUAAAGCGGGUGAAAAGCCCGCUCGCCGGAAGACCAAGGGUUCCUGUCCAACGUUAAUCGGGGCAGGGUGAGUCGACCCCUAAGGCGAGGCCGAAAGGCGUAGUCGAUGGGAAACAGGUUAAUAUUCCUGUACUUGGUGUUACUGCGAAGGGGGGACGGAGAAGGCUAUGUUGGCCGGGCGACGGUUGUCCCGGUUUAAGCGUGUAGGCUGGUUUUCCAGGCAAAUCCGGAAAACCAAGGCUGAGGCGUGAUGACGAGGCACUACGGUGC
rnacentral:rRNA from 1 species